GUUUGCAUGUGUCUGGAUAAUCUACUCCCCAGUCUAGAUUACAAUAACAAAAUAAACGCUGGAUGCUUAGGGAUAAGAUUUGAAUGGAUUGCUACAGGAGAUUAAAACAAGGUAGAUUUUGUUUAUCUGGGACCCAAAUCAGGGAGGAAAUGGUUGCAUGAAGAAGGGAGGGUGUGUGUGUGUGUGUGUGUGUGUGUGUGUGUGUGUGUGUGUGUGUGUGUUGAGGGGGAGGGGAGUGUGGGUGUAGGAGUGUAGGGAUAAGAUGGAGAUAGGAGAGAGGAAGAAAGAUAGAAAAUAAAUUAGGGGUAGUUUAAAUAAAAAGAGUAGACUUUGAAGAUGGCAUUUUAAUCAUUUUUGUCCAUUUGUAUUGAGGAUAGGAUGAAAUUAGAAUAAGACUAGCAAGAUGAAGAGACACCCUGGGAAAUAAAUGAGGAGGUGAAGAUAAGAAGUGGUAUCUUCAGCAGGUUCUUCAUCCCCAGCCCUCCGCUGCCAGCUCCCCAGUGGAGGGCUGGGGACGGGAGAGGUGGACUUAGGCUCACUGGCGCAGGGAGAAGGAAAAUAAGUCCCCACAAGGCUCAGAGUGCACAAGGAAAGUGGGCCUGGAAAGCAGUGAGGCUCUAGUAAGUAGCACACAAAAGGCUUUGCAGAAUGCAAUUUAAGCCUGCGAUGGCGUCUCAGAGCCAAAAGAGUUUGCAGCAGGAUGGCAUCAGCGCAGACACAUUCUCACCGUCGCUCAUUUCCAAGUUGCUUGUUGGAAAGCCCUCGACGAGACUGACAAACCUCCCUGUGAACCGUGCAGUCGAAUCGCUGUCACAUAACAAACGUGAUUAUGUUGUAAGUAGAGGACCAUGAGCUCACCUGUCAUGCCGGCGACAUCCUUCUGCAAAAACAAGCAUUUUUCAAAAACUGAAGUCAAUCAAAGGAGUAGUAGCAAUAAAGAGGAAGAUUGUUAUCAUGGGGUGAAGAUGAGGCAAUGCCAAGUAUAGUGCCGCGUACAGAGCCUGGAGCAAGGUAUUUCCAGCCUUGUUUUGCAACCGAUAAAAAUGAGACUCAGAGGUGAACAAACGCAGGCUCCGGGAUGCCAAGUGACUUCAUAUCAACAUCACCCAGCAGAUUAAGGGAACUGGGCCCAGACUCCUAGGCUCCUGACUACCCAGUCCUGUGCCCAUUCUAGUGGCCACUAUACUCACCCACUGGUUGUAGCCAUAUCUGGCUUAGGCUGGCAACACUUUUGAAGCAAGGAUGAUGCUUUCUUUCUUUUGCCCAAGACCAUUCUUCAUAUAAUAAGACAAUUAACAGAUUGUGGGUUUGAUUUAUAUGUAUGGUGAACUAACACUGGAAUGUAUCUGAAAGAUUGAGGCAGGAGAGGUAGUCAAGGAAGUAACCACGUCUUUCAGACGUGGCAACCGUGAUGACCACCAACACAAUAAGCCCUGGUGUUGACACUGUAGUCAAGCUCAUUCAAGCAAAGCUAUUUUCAGUAGGGAAUUUCCUCUGUAGAGAGCAUGCACAUUUUGAUUUUACCUGUCCUCAAACUGACCCUUUGCUCAUUAUAAUACUAAUAUAAAAAAUACUAAUAUUAAAAAAACCCCUGGGUGGAGAUUUAAGACGUUAAUGAGACAUGCGACCUAUGAAUAAGCAUGUACAGCUACUGCACAUGUGCAUCCAGAGGACCACCCACAAUAUGCUUACUAGUAACAUCUCCUUCCACACCCUUAUGAAUAAUCAUGUAAGAUUCCCAUAAGGGUAGUCUCCCUAGGGCCAGUCCAUGCUUUCUCUUCUUUAUGAGCAGCCUGCCAUGAAUCCUCUCUCAGGGUGCACUGUCUAUUCUGCACCCAGCUUUUAGAAUAUUCUUUCUCUUUUGCAAUAAAUUGCUCUAUGCUGCAGCUCCUUUGCUGUGUGUCUCUUCUUUAAGUUCUUUUAAACUAAUAAGACAAGAACUGAGGUCUCACAACAGCCAUCAACAAGAUUGUUGAAAUUCUGGAAGAGUGAUUUUCCCCAUGGGUAAUACAUUAUUCUUUUUAUUAUUUCAA
rnacentral:lncRNA from 10 species